rnacentral:misc_RNA from 1 species
GUUUUUUUUUUUUUUUUCAUUUCAUGUAAUUUUGUGUUUGGUAUUAAUUUCUUUAGUUUUAGAUUCCUUUUUUUGUCUUUUGGAAUUCUUUGUUUGUGUUGCAUUUUGAUCAUCUUCCUUUACUCAUUAGUUUACGUUUGGUUUUUUAAUUUUUCUUUGCACAUUUUGCUUUAGUUUUGUUUGUUAUUUGUUUAAUUCAUGCGAAUCCUUUUGAGCUUAUUGUUUGUUGAUUUCCAUUUUUGGGUAUUAUCUCUAUUGUUCGGGGUUUUUCUGAAUCAAAAUAACUAAUUGCAUAAUAGUGUUUGAUGAAAUAUCUCUUAGAACCAUAUUCUUUGGCUUGAGAAGUUAUUGUGUUAAAUUGAUUGUUCCAGCAAUUUUAGUGAUAUCUCAAUUGUUUUGUUGGUAGUUUUGC